AGCAGUAGAGCAGUUAGGAGGUUAGUCCAGUAGUUAAAUAGGAAGAUUCUAUUGUACUAGUCUAUUGUAAUUACUCUCCAGUCAAUUGUAAUUGUAGAAAGCAGUUAUAGGAUCCAAAGAAGUAUAAAUAGGAACUUAAUUGUAAAGAGGAGACUAUCCAAUAUCAUUAAUCAAAGAUAUCUCUCAUCUCUGAAAUAUUCUCUUUCUCUUCUCAUCUACUC
rnacentral:misc_RNA from 1 species